rnacentral:lncRNA from 1 species
UUUUUAAUACUGCUUCAUGGCUUCGUUGCAUGGCCCUUUUGUACAUUAUGUGAUAAAGUAAAGAGUACAUUUUGGGCCAAGAGCUCUAAGGAUGGACUUUGGAGCCAGAAAUGACUGGAUUUGAUUUCCUGCUUCUGCUUCUUACUGUGUACUUUUGGGUAAGCUUAAUAAAUUUAAGUGCCUUGGUUUUCCCACCUGUAAAAGGAAAUGACAGUAGUGCCUACCUCAUAAGCACUGAUGUGAGGAGUAAAUUGACUAUUUG